UACGUAGGGUGCGAGCGUUAAUCGGAAUUACUGGGCGUAAAGCGUGCGUAGGCGGUUCGUUAAGUCAGCUGUGAAAGCCCCGGGCUCAACCUGGGAACUGCGGUUGAAACUGGCGAACUAGAAUCUGGCAGAGGGGGGUGGAAUUCCGCGUGUAGCAGUGAAAUGCGUAGAUAUGCGGAGGAACACCGAUGGCGAAGGCAAUCCCCUGGGCCUGCACUGACGCUCAUGCACGAAAGCGUGGGGAGCAAACAGG
rnacentral:rRNA from 1 species